rnacentral:rRNA from 1 species
ACUGGCGACCGGCGCACGGGUGAGUAACACGUAUCCAACCUGCCUCAUACUCGGGGAUAGCCUUUCGAAAGAAAGAUUAAUACCCGAUGGUAUAAUCAGACCGCAUGGUUUGAUUAUUAAAGAAUUUCGGUUAUCGAUGGGGAUGCGUUCCAUUAGGCAGUUGGUGAGGUAACGGCUCACCAAACCUUCGAUGGAUAGGGGUUCUGAGAGGAAGGUCCCCCACAUUGGAACUGAGACACGGUCCAA